UACGUAGGUGGCAAGCGUUGUCCGGAAUUAUUGGGCGUAAAGCGCGCGCAGGCGGUUCCUUAAGUCUGAUGUGAAAGCCCCCGGCUCAACCCGGGGAGGGUCAUUGGAAACUGGGGAACUUGAGUGCAGAAGAGAAGAGCGGAAUUCCACGUGUAGCGGUGAAUGACGUAGAGAUGUGGAGGAACACCAGUGGCGAAGGCGGCUCUUUGGUCUGUAACUGACGCUGAGGCGCGAAAGCGUGGGGAGCAAACAGG
rnacentral:rRNA from 1 species